rnacentral:rRNA from 1 species
GGACGAACGCUGGCGGCGUGCCUAACACAUGCAAGUCGAGCGGGGGAAAACCCUUCGGGGGUUUUUUCCAGCGGCGGACGGGUGAGUAACGCGUGAGCAAUCUGUCCUGCACAGGGGGAUAACAGUUGGAAACGACUGCUAAUACCGCAUAAGCGCACAGUACCGCAUGGUACAGUGUGAAAAACUCCGGUGGCAUACGAUGGACCCGCGUCUGAUUAGCUAGUUGGUGAGGUAACGGCCCACCAAGGCGACGAUCAGUAGCCGGCCUGAGAGGGUGAACGGCCACAUUGGGACUGAGACACGGCCCAAACUCCUACGGGAGGCAGCAGUGGGGAAUAUUGCACAAUGGGGGAAACCCUGAUGCAGCGACGCCGCGUGAGUGAAGAAGUAUUUCGGUAUGUAAAGCUCUAUCAGCAGGGAAGAAAAUGACGGUACCUGACUAAGAAGCCCCGGCUAACUACGUG